AGAGAGCCCCAUGCAGGGCUCGAUCCCAGAACCCUGAGAUCAUGGCCUGAGCCGAAGACAGAUGCUUCACUGACUGAGCCACCCAGGCGCCCCUCAAAUGUAAAGUUUCAUAUUUAUGUUCAGGUGGCCACUUACUAUCUUUAAAACUCUGUCCCUGAUAUAUGCAGUCAUUUUGAAUUGGGUCAGUGCCUUCUCUCUCUUUUUUUUUUUUCUUUUUCUUUUCUUUCCUUUCACCUCCUUCCCCGCACCCCUGCCCAGUUGAAAGGAUGUUGUUCGCUCCGACAGAGAUACAGGAGAUGGAUGCACUUGAGACCAUUCCAUCUAAUUAAGAGUCACAGCAAUGCUAGAGCUUACUUGCUCUGUAAAACAAGCUGAGCUUUUAUUCCUUAUGCCUUUAAACACCACCCGGGUAUUCACCUCAUGGCCACUUGCUAGGUCCGUGGAGUCCCAUCGCAGACCAACGCCCGCCCUAGACACCGACGUCCAGCGCCCUGGUGAUUCCUGCCGGAGGAGCCCCACUGGAGAGAACUUCUCAGCUGAGAAACAGGGAGUUCGGGGAUGUCCCAAAAUCAUGUUUCUGAAUAUGUGUCCUUUAUAUGCAAGCUUCGUAAAGACCCCGUGUCCUCCGAGGUGUGCCGCGUCACCUUCUCACAAGUAUUUGCUUUCUUUUAACCAAAAGUAUCAUUCUUGGGCAAGAAUAUAGUUUUGUUCUAUCUAGUGACUGUCUGGAAAACAAAGAGCCAAUUAAAUUUUUUAGUUUUAAGAAGUUUAAUUUAUAUAUAUAUAUACACACACACACACACACACACACACACACACACACACACAUAUAUUUUGAAUGAGGAGUAUUUUCAACUGUAGACAUGGAGUUAGGUCGUGUGGGUGAGGCUCCGUUGUAUUCUAACAAGCGGUGGUCACGAGGAGCUUCUUCCCGGCCUUUCUCCCCACUUCUCCGCCUCCCUUUCCUUUGUGAGUUUCGUAAAGAAUGGAGUUUCUUUGGCUUUAUCUUGUCUUACCUUAUCUUAAUCGGACCACUAGAAAGUAUAUUUUCUUCUUCUGCCAACUUCUCGUUGGCAUUUGUAAAAGCUGAUCUCAAAGGCUCUGAGACGUGCUUCUCCGUGGCUCCGCAGGCAAGCCUUUCUACAGAGCCUGUGUGUCCAGUCGGCGACCGGAGACCCGUCUGAGCACCCAGUUCCUGUUCCUCGUGCCUCCAGCGCUUAGUGCACAGUACUGUAUAGACUGACCGUCACCCCUCUCCUCGGAGAACGCCACUGUGCUGUUUGAGACAAAGCAGCCUUUUAGGGCUAGAGUAUUUUAUAUACACAGAAGAGCUGAGUUUCUGAAGACUAAGCUAGGUAGACGCAGCUACGUGUAAAUUGUAUAUUUUUAUGAACUUUUCAAGCACGCACUCUUCCUUCCCUCUGCAUAGCUUUGUGGGGUUUCGGUGUACGUGUGCUGUCUGCGAGAGUCCAGAGGUGGGAGUGGCCAUAGGAGAGGGGAACAAAAAGUAUGUGUGGCCUUUGGAAGUGACCAGGUAAUUGUCUUCACUGUGACCAGGCGGAGCCCCUGUUUGUGAAGAAGGGGCUUUUUCGUACCUCCUUGGAGAUGCCACCUCGAAAGUUCACAUUGUACAGGGUAAAGGUUUUAUUCUCCCCCAGCGCACAUUUGAAUGUCAGAAGCCCAUAUCCACAUGGGCCACGGUGGACCACUAACGGACCACUAAUAUUUGGCAGGCCAGGGGGAUUAUGUCCAGAUUUUCUCUGGAGGCUGAUCUUGCCCCUUUAUGUCCUAAACACCCCUCGACCUCGAGCCUUGUGAGACCCGGGUCCAGGCAGGUGAAAUGACAGAGUCAGAUUCCGAGGAGGAGUCGAGGGAGGAGCCACGUCUAUGCAGACCUCUCCAGACAGAGCUGGGAGACCCCUCAGAGAAGGGUUCUGGGAGAUAAGUCAACCGAAUACCAUCUCCAUAUUGAUUUUCAGAAUUGACUCUUGAAACUUUGUGCAGAAUCUUCCACUUUGUUGGGAUUGUCUCUUGACAUUCCUAGUUUGUUAUUUUUAUUAACUGGAGUGUGUGCUGCCUUUCAGGUACAAUUUUUGUGUAAUAAAAGCCAGUGCAUUAAGUUUAUAUAGACUACUUUCUAUGCAAGACUGAGAUAUGGAAUAGAGAGCAGGAGGUAUGGGUAGUUGGGUACAUGGGCAAUGAGCUCGUUCUCAGAAUGGGAACCUCCAUCGGACGUGGGCUGAGGGAGGACGGGUUGCAUGUAUGUUUCUGCCCACUGAUUUUGAGCAGCCAUAUUAGGAAUUAAAUCCUCAGAGCCAAGUAACCGGAGACUGGUAUUUGUUUCAUGUGUGUUAACGCCAAUGGAAGAAAGUACGAGUGCCGAAGUGGAACAUUAUUCUCAGAUAUCCCGUGUCAUUUCUCCUGUAAAGACUCUUGUUACGAAUUGCUAGAAACUUUAGGCAAAAUCCAAGUAUUGGCAGCAAAAUAAAGGCCUACUCUGCUCUUAUUUAAAGUGAAACACUGUAUACUUGUUUCUCUCCAAAGUGAAAUUAGGCGUUUAUGAUUUCAAUUGCCUUGAUACGUUUCCAAAUCACCUGUUUCUGCUGAAGAUUUUACUAUAUUGUUGCACAAUUUUAUGAUAAUUUUUGUCUCAAUGUCAACUUUUUUCACUGAAUAAAAAUGUAACUGGGUCAAGGAAACACCUCUAUGAAAAUCCACUCUCUCUUCCUGUGUCUCGAGUUCUUUUGAGUGCAAUAAAGAUGGUUAAUACA